GGCUUCUUGGUCGAGUGGUAAGAACACUUGUCUCUCACGCUGAAGUACCGGGUACGAUCCCCGGUAGAGGAGCUA